rnacentral:rRNA from 1 species
UACGUAGGGUGCAAGCGUUGUCCGGAAUAUUGGGCGUAAAGAGCUCGUAGGCGGUUUGUCGCGUCUGCCGUGAAAGUCCGGGGCUCAACUCCGGAUCUGCGGUGGGUACGGGCAGACUAGAGUGAUGUAGGGGAGACUGGAAUUCCUGGUGUAGCGGUGAAAUGCGCAGAUAUCAGGAGGAACACCGAUGGCGAAGGCGGUUCUCUGGGCAUGUCCUGACGCUGAGGAGCGAAAGUGUGGGGAGCGAACAGG